rnacentral:rRNA from 1 species
UACGAAGGGGGCGAGCGUUGUUCGGAUUUACUGGGCGUAAAGGGCGCGCAGGCGGCUCAUCAAGUCAGGCGUGAAAGCCCCGGGCUUAACCCGGGAGGUGCGUCUGGGACUGGUGGGCUAGAGAUCGGGAGAGGAGAGUGGAAUUCCCAGUGUAGAGGUGAAAUUCGUAGAUAUUCGGAAGAACACCAGUGGCGAAGGCGACUCACUGGACAGGUAUUGACGCUGAGGUGCGAAAGCGUGGGGAGCAAACAGG